AGCAGCUUAAAUAGCAGCUGCAGCAAUCACUGUCUCAUUCUGCCACUUCCAUGCACAGCCAAAACUCUCCAGGAUCCGUUCUGUGAGCUUUACUGAGGAAGUUGCAUUGCAUUGUGAUUGUCAAAUCCGCUUUAUACUUUUUGAAUUAUAUUUUUAUGGGUAAACACCCGAAUCUGAAAUAAUUCUGAUUAUAAGAUCUGGAUAUUCUCCAUAGCAGUCCACCAAAAUAUGGAUGUAUAACUGCCAGUAUCUUUAAAAAGAACUUCAAUCAAUAGUUUUUAUAAGGAACUCCCUAAAUAGAGUUCUUUUAAUUAUUUUUAAGGCAGCCUGUGGAAAUUUCAAUCUAUAAUAAGCCCCCUCCAGGAGCUAAUAUAGGAGAUUUUACUAUCCUUAUAUUUAAGUUACCCCUGAUGAAGUCGAUAAGACAAAACGCGUUGGGUUUGUCAGUCAGAAGUUUCCUACUUUGUGAAGAUACUCCCUUGUGAGCUCACACCUUAAAAAGGUGAGGGAGUAUCUAGAAUUCAAAUUAUUCAACAAACGCAGUGGUUGUCUUUUUUUACUGACAUUUACAUUUACUAUCUGUAUACUCAUUACAUGAUGAACUAUGUAAAAAUUGCAUUUGUUUAAAUGAAUGUUAUUUAAAAUAAUCUUUUAUUAAUUGGCCUUGGGCCUCUUGUUUGGGUGACCAUUUGGUGAGGGGUGUCCGUUACAGGUUCCCGGUCACAAACUUUCUCCAAUAUCCAACUUACACCUAUGGAAACAACAUUGGAAGAAUUACCGUAAAGAUGUUCCUAUAUAGAGCAUUUGAGAAUUUUGUGUAUAUAUAUAUAUAUAUAUA